rnacentral:rRNA from 1 species
ACACGGACCAAGGAGUGCAACAUGCGUGCGAGUCUUUGGGUGACAAACCCUGUGGCGCAAUGAAAGUGAAGGCAAACGUUGGUUUGCUCAGGUGAGAGCCUCCCCUCGGGGGCACAUCAUCGACCGAUCCCAGGCUACGCUGUAGCGGGAUUUGAGUAAGAGCGUGCCUGUUGCGACCCGAAAGAUGGUGAACUAUGCCUGAAUAGGGUGAAGCCAGAGGAAACUCUGGUGGAAGCUCGUAGCGAUUCUGACGUGCAAAUCGAUCGUCAAAUUUGGGUAUAGGGGCGAAAGACUAAUCGAACCAUCUAGUAGCUGGUUCCCUCCGAAGUUUCCCUUAGGAUAGCUGGAGCCCGGUGCAGUUUUAUCAGGUAAAGCGAAUGAUUAGAGGUCUUGGGGUUGAAACAACCUCAACCUAUUCUCAAACUUUAAAUGGGUAAGAAGCCCGGCUUGCUUAAUUGAAGUCGGGCAUCGAAUGCCGGGGCUCUUAGUGGGCCAUUUUUGGUAAGCAGAACUGGCGAUGCGGGAUGAACCGAAUGCUGGGUUAAGGUGCCCGAAUCGACGCUCAUCAGAUACCAUGAAAGGUGUUGGUUGAUCUAGACAGCAGGACGGUGGCCAUGGAAGUCGGAAUCCGCUAAGGAGUGUGUAACAACU